GUUGGCUUUGUUCAUUGUUUAUUCUGAUGCUCGAUAGAGGUAGUUUGAGGUGUACGAAGAUGUGGACAUAUUGCAGAAACUUUGGCUUUGAUGUGUACCGGUAUGUGGCCUAAUCCCUCUGUCUGUAGAUUAGCUAAUUCCCAAUUCAGAAAAGAAAACUAUUUGCCAAGACAGGUUGUGAGAACAUGUAAAUUGUACUAUUAUUGACAGUGCGGACAGAGAAUGGGCAGCCCGGUGCAUGUAGCUCCCGCUUGCGCAGGGUCGGAGAAGGGUCCGACCACUUUGGGUCUAUAGUACGCAGCCUUUCCCUACAUUUCUGUAAGAGGCUGUUUCCAGGACUUGAACCCGUGACCUCAUGGUCACAAGGCAGCAGCUUUACCACUGCGCCAAGGCUCCCCUUCCAUUAAAAACAUGUCAGUUCAGCUCAAUUCAGAGUGUUAGUGUUUGGAGAUUCUACAUAUGUAGUAACCUUUUUCAAGCUAGAGUGGCGGGCUUUCAAAACUACUGGAGUUCUGUACACUUUAUGGGUUCUUGAGGUGUCAAGUAGAUGUGUGUAUGAUUGGUAGCUAAUUCUGUAUGUGGGGGUAAUUCUUAUGCAGUCAUGUACCUUCCGUUGAAAUACCACACAACUCCUUUGCCUAUUAGAAUUAUAGAUACCACAAAGCAACCGUUAUGGCAAUUUGUCAAAUGUAGAUGUUCCUUCUAGACUUUAGAUAGAUAUAUGUAUUUCUUGGAAGUAAGCACAUGGUAAAAAAAUAGGCUCAUAUUCAUGAAGGAAAGUGCCACUGACCCUCACAUGGUAGGCUGAGACCAAAAUAGUGUUUCGAUUCUCUUCUCUGUAUAAUUAAUUUGCAUUUCCCUAUGGUGACAUAGAAUCGCAUGCGCAUGCUUUAAGUUGUUCCUCAAUUUAUUUUUUGGUCAACUUCAGGAAAUUAAGGAGCUCAGGACCAUAUACAUUCAGUCUAUCUAUAUAUACAGCAGUAAAUAACCUCAGCCAUCAGGUAAAUUCUUGCCUUCAGGUUACCUAUGAUGUGAAUCAUUCAAGUAAGGAUAAGCUAGCUUAUUAUCCUAGAAACUGCUAUUAGAAGAUGCCAUAAUCUGAAUAGUUAGCCAUCUGUUAAAAGCACAUCCACUUAAAUUUAUUUCUUGCAUGUACUCCCUCCGUUCGGAAUUACUUGUUGCGAAAAUGGAUGUAUCUAGAACUAAAAUACGUCUAGAUACAUCCAUUUCUGCGACGAGUAAUUCCGAACGGAGGAAGUAUAAGUUUUGGAUUGCGCAACUGCGCUAUGCAUACCAGUUCUGCUUGUUUAUAUGUUACUAAAAUAUUGCAUACAUAUCUACCGACAUAUAUGUAAUACUCUAUCAAAAUGAGAAUGGAUGGGAUAUUCCUAUCUUUCAUAGGUCUGCAUACUAUAUAAGCAUCCGAAGGCCUUCUAGCUAGCACCCUCCUGCAAUCACCCCCCAUGAGUGUAGGUAUGCUACUCAUAUGUUUCUCUCAUUUUCCCCUAGAAUUCUCCAUAUAUUUUUCACCUCCGCUUCUGUUUUACCCUCCCUUCCAUGCCCCUUCAGCAGCUGCAGCCUUUACUUAUCUUCUUCAUCCAAUAUGUCUGCAAGGUCUGUUAUUUUCAGGAUAUGAUGCUUUAGAGUCUGUUUUGUAUGCAUGUCAAUGCAGAUAUUUGGAAUAGACAGGGCCACAAUCCAAUAUGGUUUUGAUGCGAUCAGAAAUCCCAAUAUAGGAAAUAUGACGCCUUUUCGUGUGUUGUAUUUUGAUGGGAAAUUUACAUAGUUGAACAUUAUGGUUUCAUACCAGCUAAUGACGAAAUGUGAACUAUUUUUUGUUUUUAUUGGUAAAAAAAUGUGGCAACUCGCUAACAAGGGAAAAUCAUUACUCCCUUUUAUAUUUAUAAUAAUUCCGAUCUAUCUGAGGCUACUUGUGAAUUACUAAAUUAGUGUUGUUUUUGUUCAAUUUCUAUAAUGCGGGUAUAGUUGA
rnacentral:lncRNA from 1 species